GACGAACGCUGGCGGCGUGCUUAACACAUGCAAGUCGAACGGAAAGGCCCUGCUUUUGUGGGGUGCUCGAGUGGCGAACGGGUGAGUAGCACGUGAGUAAACUGCCCUUGACUUUGGGAUAACUUCAGGAAACUGGGGCUAAUACCGGAUAGGAGCUCCUGAUGCAUGGGGGGGGUUGGAAAGUUUCGGCGGUUGGGGCUGGAUUGGCGGCUUAUCAGCUGGUUGGUCGGGUAGUGGCUUACCAGGGCUUUGACGGGUAGCCGGCCUGGGAGGGUGGCCGGCCACCUUGGGCCUGAGAUACGGCCCAGACUCCUACGGGAGGCAGUAGGGGGGAGUAUUGCGCAACGGGCGGAAGCCAGAUGCAGCAGCGCCGCGUGCGGGAUGACGGCCUUCGGGUGGUAAACCGCUUUGGCCGGUGCCGAAGCGGGAGUGACGGUAAUGGGUAAAGAAGCACCGGCUAACUACGUG
rnacentral:rRNA from 1 species